rnacentral:rRNA from 1 species
UACGAAGGGGACUAGCGUUGUUCGGAAUUACUGGGCGUAAAGGGCUCGUAGGCGGCCAACUAAGUCAUACGUGAAAUCCCUCGGCUUAACCGGGGAACUGCGUCUGAUACUGGAUGGCUUGAGUUCGGGAGAGGGAUGCGGAAUUCCAGGUGUAGCGGUGAAAUGCGUAGAUAUCUGGAGGAACACCGGUGGCGAAGGCGGCAUCCUGGACCGAUACUGACGCUGAGGAGCGAAAGCCAGGGGAGCAAACGGG